rnacentral:rRNA from 1 species
GAUGAACGCUGGCGGCGUGCCUAAUACAUGCAAGUCGAGCGAACGGACGAGAAGCUUGCUUCUCUGAUGUUAGCGGCGGACGAGUGAGUAACACGUGGAUAACCUACCUAUAAGACUGGGAUAACUUCGGGAAACCGGAGCUAAUACCGGAUAAUAUUUUGAACCGCAUGGUUCAAAAGUGAAAGACGGUCUUGCUGUCACUUAUAGAUGGAUCCGCGCUGCAUUAGCUAGUUGGUAAGGUAACGGCUUACCAAGGCAACGAUGCAUAGCCGACCUGAGAGGGUGAUCGGCCACACUGGAACUGAGACACGGUCCAGACUCCUACGGGAGGCAGCAGUAGGGAAUCUUCCGCAAUGGGCGAAAGCCUGACGGAGCAACGCCGCGUGAGUGAUGAAGGUCUUCGGAUCGUAAAACUCUGUUAUUAGGGAAGAACAUAUGUGUAAGUAACUGUGCACAUCUUGACGGUACCUAAUCAGAAAGCCACGGCUAACUACGUGCCAGCAGCCGCGGUAAUACGUAGGUGGCAAGCGUUAUCCGGAAUUAUUGGGCGUAAAGCGCGCGUAGGCGGUUUUUUAAGUCUGAUGUGAAAGCCCACGGCUCUUCCGUGGAGGGUCAUUGGAAACUGGAAAACUUGAGUGCAGAAGAGGAAAGUGGAAUUCCAUGUGUAGCGGUGAAAUGCGCAGAGAUAUGGAGGAACACCAGUGGCGAAGGCGACUUUCUGGUCUGUAACUGACGCUGAUGUGCGAAAGCGUGGGGAUCAAACAGGAUUAGAUACCCUGGUAGUCCACGCCGUAAACGAUGAGUGCUAAGUGUUAGGGGGUUUCCGCCCCUUAGUGCUGCAGCUAACGCAUUAAGCACUCCGCCUGGAGAGUACGACCGCAAGGUUGAAACUCAAAGGAAUUGACGGGGACCCGCACAAGCGGUGGAGCAUGUGGUUUAAUUCGAAGCAACGCGAAGAACCUUACCAAAUCUUGACAUCCUUUGACAACUCUAGAGAUAGAGCCUUCCCCUUCGGGGGACAAAGUGACAGGUGGUGCAUGGUUGUCGUCAGCUCGUGUCGUGAGAUGUUGGGUUAAGUCCCGCAACGAGCGCAACCCUUAAGCUUAGUUGCCAUCAUUAAGUUGGGCACUCUAAGUUGACUGCCGGUGACAAACCGGAGGAAGGUGGGGAUGACGUCAAAUCAUCAUGCCCCUUAUGAUUUGGGCUACACACGUGCUACAAUGGACAAUACAAAGGGCAGCGAAACCGCGAGGUCAAGCAAAUCCCAUAAAGUUGUUCUCAGUUCGGAUUGUAGUCUGCAACUCGACUACAUGAAGCUGGAAUCGCUAGUAAUCGUAGAUCAGCAUGCUACGGUGAAUACGUUCCCGGGUCU